UGGAUACCAGUGAAGAUUUCGAAAGCGUUUUUUCUGGAAAUGUUGCACAGGGAGAUUUGUGUUGGCCAAUCCUGGGGCUACUACACCAAAACAAAUUAAAGAGUUAAUGAAGGUUGACGGGCUUACUAAUGAUGAAGUCAAAAGCCAUUUACAGGUUUGUAUAUGUGAUUAUCCAUCUGUUUUUAAUCAUAAUUUGGUUGAUGUGAAUAAAUGUUUAUACAUACAUGACAGAAAUUGGAAGCCAUUUUGCAUGUUAUUAGUGAUGACUUUUUUUACACAUA